rnacentral:rRNA from 1 species
CCUGCCCUCUAGAUGGGGACAACAUCCCGAAAGGGGUGCUAAUACCGAAUGUGACAGCAAUCUCGCAUGAGGAUGCUGUGAAAGAUGGCCUCUAUUUAUAAGCUAUCGCUAGAGGAUGGGCCUGCGUCUGAUUAGCUAGUUGGUGGGGUAACGGCCUACCAAGGCGAUGAUCAGUAGCCGGUCUGAGAGGAUGAACGGCCACAUUGGGACUGAGACACGGCCCAGACUCCUACGGGAGGCAGCAGUGGGGAAUCUUCCGCAAUGGGCGAAAGCCUGACGGAGCAAUGCCGCGUGAGUGACGAAGGAAUUCGUUCCGUAAAGCUCUUUUGUUUAUGAC